AUUCAGGUUUCGUUAACGCGUUUGGUCUCUUCUAUUGUCGUCGUGUCUGAGACUUGGUAGUGGAAGCUGCGUUCAUCCUUCAUCUUUGUUGUUCUAGAUUUUGGAGGUUCUGAAUGCUCCUCGAUUGGAGGUUUGGCGUGGUAAUUGUGGUUGAGUCUGAGAUUGAAGCUAUUUAGAAUAUCCUUAGUUAUUCAUCUGAUUAGAGGCAGAGGCUUGGUUGUCAUUGCUUUGCAGAUUCAUGGACAUACUGCCCCUUGACAAGGGUGCUCUUUGCUCUUAUUGCGGCUUUGAUUAUUGCACUCUGUAUGAAUGUUGUUUAUGCUAUUAUCUUCCGGAUACUUGAUAGCUUCUUUGUCAUGUUGGUCUAUCUCUGAUGUUGCAUGAUUCUUGGUAGUAGGAGUACUGGGAUUUGCCUGGUUAUCUAUGUUUAUAACGUACCUAAGGUUGCUGCUAUCAAUGGGGGAUGGUUACCUUA